rnacentral:lncRNA from 1 species
GGGAAAUGUUUAAUGGGAAUUUAGCAUAAAAUGACACACCUAAUUGAAGGAAAUCAUGGUUCCAAGUGAAAACAGUUGUCACGAAUUAAUUUUUGACUAUUGGCAGAUCUGAGGUUUACCUCAUAUGUAGACUGUGUCCAACUUGGCAAAGAGCAUGGAAUACUGCCCAGUUCUCAGUGCAAAUGCUCCCAUUUUCUCUCACUGAUAAGUCACUGCCUAAUUGGGGGGUUAAAUGAGAUGUCGAAAUGGCUGUGUUUCCUUUUUGCCUUUCUAGUAGCAUCUCUUAAGUUGCAGUAGCCAAGCAUGUGUCUGCCAGGCCUCUCAGAAGCAUGAAAUCCUUGCUGGGUCGGUGAGUUUGCCUUCAUUUGGGCAUUUUUGUUUAUUCAUUCAUUCACUCAAUAUACACUAAUAAUGUGCCCUUCCCCAUGGGGAAGACAAAGGUAUAAGGCAUUGCUGCUCUCUUUGGUCUUAACAAUCAAAACAAUCCCAGGAAGUUAACCAUGCACCAUUGCUGCUGGGUGAUUAAAUAGGAAAUAGACACGGCAGGUAAGAAAAGAUAGAAAGGUUGUCAAAAAACACAGAUGUUGGUGGCCUUCCAACCCUUCCUCAAUCUAGUUGAGCAAAGCAAAUCAAUGGUCACAUAAAAUAUGUUGAGUCCUGAUAAUGAGACUGUAGAAAACCCA